GAAGCUUAUUAAAGUAAAUCACAGCAUCUUCAGUAGGAAUUCUUUUGUUUCUUUUAUUUGAAGAGGUCCAGUCUACAGUCAGUCCACCUGCUCAGGAUUUCUAUCCCUGACCAGGACAGGAUCCUGUUGGUUGUCAGAAAAAAUGUCUUAGAGAAAAGAUUUUUUUUUUUACUAUUUUGCUAAAUAGUUUAAGGACUAAGAGAUUAGUUGUUAGUUUUCAGAUAUUAGCUCACACAAGGUGCAACAGUUAGCAUGUUUCACCUGAAAAAAAGCAGAAAAUUAUGAAAUGUGUUUGACAGCUAUAGGUGCUAGAUUGUAAUGUCACCAAAUAUAUGUGAAGCAAGGGUUCAUUUUAAUUUUUUAAUUAAUUUUAAUCUAAAUCUGUGUUUACACAAAGUCAGAAAACUAGUCACUUCACACAGAACCCUCUUCUUGGUCCCGAUCACACCAUUCUGGUCGUGGCCCUUCACAGCAGGUCGAGAGGGCCUGGAGCCUGCUCAUUGCUAUCACUUAUUGCUUUAAUCCUUCUGCUCACUGUGCUAUGGAUAAGCCCGGAGUGAAAGGGGCCCGCAGGGCCACGCUGACUAACUUCACAGACUCCAGUGGAGCUUGACUUCCCCGGCUGCUGGACAUUCUAAUGUGUUUAGGAAAUGCUGGCUGAACGGUACACUGGAUAAUAUGCAACUGAUGCGUACUCUUACUCUAUGAAGUGGGGUUGUGAUGAGAGGUUAUGAUUAGUCAGUAUCUUCCCUGCUGUAACAAAGGUUCGAAAUGAGAUUUUUCAAUUAGAGUCAAACAUUUACACAUUUUGAUGUUUGCAUCUGUUUUGCAACAAUAAUGUUUUGGUUUGUCCUUGAAUAACUCUUACUAAAAGACAUAGACAAUUAUUGAAGUUAAUGAUUUUAAAUACAAUAAAAAGUAAGGCCACUACCUGAUGAUCAUAAAUUAAUAGCCAAACAGCUCUUACUCUCACUUGUAGUUUUAUGAUUACCUGCCUGGUGGAGUAUGAUAUUACAGAACAAAAAAGGUGAAUUUUCAAACUGAAAGCCUGAUUUAUAGAAUAAACAAGUUCUCU